GAAAUGCGAUAAGUAAUGUGAAUUGCAGAAUUCAGUGAAUCAUCGAAUCUUUGAACGCACAUUGCGCCCGCCAGUAUUCUGGCGGGCAUGCCUGUUCGAGCGUCAUUUCAACCAUCAAGCCCCCGGCUUGUGUUGGGGACCUGCGGCUGCCCGCAGGCCCUGAAAAACAGUGGCGGGCUCGCUGUCACACCGAGCGUAGUAGCAUACAUUCUCGCUCAGGGCGUGCUGCGGGUUCCGGCCGUUAAACGAUCUUCAUAACCCAAGGUUGACCUCGGAUCAGGUAGGAAGACCCGCUGAACUUAAGC
rnacentral:misc_RNA from 1 species